rnacentral:tRNA from 1 species
GCUAAUUUGGCAGAAAAGUGCUUUAAAUUUAGAAUUUAAAAAAUGUAAAUAUCUAUACUACAGUUAGUA